rnacentral:tRNA from 1 species
GCGCGAGUGGCGAAAUUGGCAGACGCCCGGGCUUUAGGUGCCCGUGUCUUCGGACGUGGGGGUUCGAGUCCCCCCUCGCGCA